CAGCAGCCGCGGUAAAACGUAGGGUGCAAGCGUUAAUCGGAAUUACUGGGCGUAAAGCGUGCGCAGGCGGUUUGUUAAGACAGAUGUGAAAUCCCCGGGCUCAACCUGGGAACUGCAUUUGUGACUGGCAGGCUAGAGUAUGGCAGAGGGGGGUGGAAUUCCGCGUGUAGCAGUGAAAUGCGUAGAUAUGCGGAGGAACACCGAUGGCGAAGGCAGCCCCCUGGGCCAAUACUGACGCUCAUGCACGAAAGCGUGGGGAGCAAACAGGAUUAGAUACCCGCGUAGUCCCUGUCUCUUAUAC
rnacentral:rRNA from 1 species